UAUUGCAUUGCGUUAAACGCGGCGCACAUUCCAUAAGACUUGGCCACGGCGUAUGUGUAAAAACGUAGAACACUACAGGAGGGAGGACGGUACACGUCCCCCUGGACCAUAGGACUACAGAGGGUGCACAGGUGUGAGUGGAUGUGUGAACAGAGUGUGCACAUGCCCCCCCCAUUUGAGGGCCAGCAGCAACUCGUGUCGACAACUCAGUAAUGAUCCUUCCGCAGGUUCACCUACGGAAA
rnacentral:misc_RNA from 1 species